GUUUUUCGAUUGUUGAUGACAAAAAAGUCUUUUAAAAAGAAUAAAAUAUAUUCAUGCAUUUUAACUUUGAAUUAAUUUUAAAAAUUAAGAGAAAUAUUUUGUUGGGAAUUAAAUUGAGAUCAUGUAAAUACAAACAAUUGUAAAUCAUGUAAUUUAAAUUUAAUAAAAACUGAACCAUGUCAUAAUUUAAGUUUAAUAAUUGACUUAAAUACUUAGUUUAAUAUAUCUUCUACUGCAUGAAUAAUUAACUCGAUGGAUUGACUUUACUUAGUUUAGUAUAUAUAUGUAUAUAUACAUCUGAAAGUAAAGUCAAAUCCAUCGAGUUAAUUAUUCGCCAAAUACAAGUUAUAUUAAACUACAUAUUUGAAUUAAUUAUUUAUGUAAUAAAUAUUUAUUUUAUGUUCUCAAUGAAAUUUUAGAGUAUUUUGGUUACUUAUUUGGGAGUGAGUUCGGGUCUUGUAUGAGUAUUUUUUUAGAAUUUUGAAAAUUUAGAGGAUUUUAAGAUAUUCAUUUGGGUUCGGGUUUGGUUCCGUUAAAAAUCCAUAACCCAAAAUAUCAUAAAAACAAGUCUUAUUCAGUAUUUAUAUCGGAUUUGGUUUGAAUUCAUUUUUAUUGGGUUGGAUUCGGUUCAGGUUUCGGAUUCACUUUAUUCGGUCACCCCUAGAUUAGAUUAUGGAAUUUACAGAUCAGUUGCGGAAUUAGAAAUAGUUAUAUAUAAUUUAUUUUUAUUUUUAAAUUUGAAUUUGUUUUUUUUGUAGAUGGCUCAUGGGAACAGAGGGAAACGCCACAUUAUAGUGAUAUUUUGGAACGGGACAUGUAGGCACAUCUAGUUUGGGCCCUUCUUCAGAUCUAGAAGUCUUCAUGGGCUAUCAGUCUUAGAGAACUCCACCACCACCACCUGCUCCUGCUGCACCUCUGGUUGCCCUCAUUGCAGCAGCGGCUGCUCCCCCUCCGGCUCCUGAUGCGCUUCCAGCCCUUGCAGCCGGAGUUCAUCCAGAAAUUUUGGUGCCUCCAGUUGAAACUUAUGCACGAUAUACCAUCGAUGAUCUUCUCACCCAGCCAGGACAAAAAGGAUAAGAGGUUUUGGACCCUGAUCGACCACCAAACAUUUGCUGAUAUGUAUAUUUUUACUUUUAUUAUUUAUUUAUAUAUAUAUAUAUAUAUAACAUUUUCUACUUAAUUUAACUAAUUCUAUUAUUUUCUAGGUAGGAAUCGAUGAUCGUUUCACACGGAGAGUUUCGACAUGAUGAAGGGUUACUUCGUCCGAACUAGAGUUUUACUCCCAAGCACAUUAGGCUCGUGUGGUUCAAAUGUUUUGUGGCAUCAAAGAGAAGGUAAAGGCAGCCUUUGUUGCUAAGAAAAUAUAUGCUUAGCAAACACUGUCCCAGAUUGGAAGGACCGUUGGGAGUUCAAAGGCGAUAACGUGAAACCCGCCUCACUCACGAAGAACGUUUGGGAUGGUCUCGUCCGCUAAUGGACCACCCCACACUCGGUCUGAGUCUCCGUGCAGUACUAUACUUCCCGUAUGAUGAGGGAUGCAGGCAUACAUUUUCCUAUGACUCACACUACCGGCCAGGCACUCCAGGCCGAUGUCCGUUUAUAAUUUGUAAGUGAUUUCAAUAUAUUUUGUUUUCUUUAUUAUAUUUUAAAUUGAUUCUAACUUUCAAUCUAUUUUCAAGCCGCAAAGGAAGAAGAACUACCAUCUCUUUUCAAAAAAUUUGAGGCAACACGCAAGACACAGACGGGAGUUUUUCGGGGAUCCUAGGUAAGAAAAAGAUCCACAAUGACAUUAUUUCCAGAAUGGAAGAACGUCAGAUUUAGUUGACGCAAUAGUCUCCGAAUGAGUUACCCGUCCAGUUGUCCACACAAGAGGUGGACAAAAAAUUUGAAGAGGUUGUACCUAAAAACAGAUGGCGCUGGGAAUAGGAUCCGUGAACAAUUUCUCGAGGGCGACAUCAUCUUAUUCCUAGAGACAGGAUGAAGAUUCGUCUCAUAUACAGGCUGAUUUGGAUGUGACGAAAGCUCACUUGGAAUCUGUCGAAGACCUCUUUGACAUGUUUGCCAUCAAAAACCUGGAUUUGUAAUGGAUGUUGGAUUUUGGUGGUGCAACCUCGGAUUCCAGACCUACCAUGCCGUACGGCGGAGGAGGAAGUGGAUUUAGAGCGAAGAGCUGACAUCAUUAGCUCGGAUCUCUUCGAAGACCUGAACUUUAGCUUAUUUCCUAUUUUAUAUUUGAUAAAUAUUUUUGAAUUUGUAAUAUAAUUUAAAUAUUAAUAUUUAUAAAUUAAAUUUUAUUUUAUAAUUAUAAAUUUUUAAAAAUUAAUGAUAUUAUUUAAGAAUAGGAAAAUUUUAAAUUCCUAGUUACGUACAACUUAUUUAUGAGUAUACAAAUGUUAAUUACUUGUAAACUAUACAACGAAUUAAUAUGUGCAUACAUGUUAAUUCGCCGUAAUUUGUUACGCUGCUUUAUGACAAUAUCUUUGUAAAUUGUCGUAAAAUUUACGAAGACAAGAUGACCAGUUUACUUCGAUAAUCAACGACUCUUUACAAAAAACACAACGACCCUUUCCCGAAAAAAUAUCAGGCUUACGACUACUUUACAAUGCAUUUGUAUGCUUGGUAUUUGAGACAAAUAUAUUUUAUCGUAAACGUUACGACAAAAUUAGGACGACUAGUCUAUUACUUCGAACGGUUUACUACGAAUUAAGAUUUGUCAUUAUUUCUCGUAAUUCCCCAUUAACGACAAAAUAACGAUGAAUACGGCUGUCGUAAGCCCUAUGUUUUCUUAUAGUAAGAGCAGACUUAUCGAGAAGGUUUCCCUCAUUAGCUACUAGCAUAAGGAAUGAUGAAUAUAUUGUGAAUCACAUCAUUAUCUUUAUGAAACAUUAAGUUACAAAAUUCAUUCAAAAACUUCACAAAAAUUUUA